AUCCAGCUGACGAGUCCCAAGUAGGACGAAACACGAGUCCUGGAU
rfam:Schistosoma haematobium scaffold634_8, whole genome shotgun sequence.